UCGAUGGGAAACAGGUUAAUAUUCCUGUACCUCUUGUUACUGCGAUGGAGGGACGGAGUAGGCUAGGCGAUCGCGGCGUUGGUUGUCCGCGUUUAAGCUAGUAGGCUGAGGACUUAGGCAAAUCCGGGUCCUUAAAGCUGAGAUGUGAUGGCGAAGCUCUCUUUUGAGCUGAGUGAUCGAUGCCAUGCUUCCAAGAAAAGCUCC
rnacentral:rRNA from 1 species